AAACGGAGAGCCGGAAAAAAAUAUCGCAGACUUAAGGAGAACAUGCAAAAACUUUUCACAUCUGAGGCAAGAAUCAAACCCAGGUCUCUAGGAUAUGUUUCUGAGCAAAAUCCACAAGCAGCUGCGCCACUAUGGCACCCUAAAGGUAGGAGAUAACUGGAGUACCCACAGGAGGAGACACAGACAAACAUGAAAAACAUCUCACAAAGACCAGUGGCAAGAAUCAAACCCAGUUUAGGGAAGGCUCUUUCCUUUUCCAGCAUGAAUGUGCACAAAGUAAAGUUUAUAAAGACA